ensembl:lncRNA
AGAAGAACACAGGGGACUCUGUCGACAUCAACUAUGAUGCAGCAGCCGAGAGCUGGGAUGGAUGGAGCCCAUCUGCAGCUACUUGACUGCCUCCAAGAUCAUGCUGCUGGCCAGGGGACUGCAGAUAGCCACGACAGAUGUCCAGAGGAGGGCAACAACACAGGCAGCAAAAGACAUGGUCAACACUUUAAGCAUGUCAGUUCGAUGGCGCAGAAUGGAUGCCAACCACACCCUUGCAGAUGCUGCUGCGCU